rfam:Pseudomonas putida KT2440 complete genome.
GGCGGUGUGCUGCUCAGCCCGUUUUUGCUUUAUGUGUUGUUGGCGCUGCUGCUCACCGGCCUGCUGCGCCUGGUGGUGCAUGCCACACCGUUGGGGCGCUGGAUCUGGCAUGAAGCGCUGUUCGACGCAGCGCUG